rfam:Larimichthys crocea isolate SSNF unplaced genomic scaffold scaffold73, whole genome shotgun sequence.
UUACAAUUAAAGGAUAUUUCUUGCGAAUGAUUGUGACUCAGAAAUGUCUUUUAAUUGUUUGGU